UACGAAGGGGGCUAGCGUUGUUCGGAUUUACUGGGCGUAAAGCGCACGUAGGCGGAUCGUUAAGUCGGGGGUGAAAUCCUGGAGCUCAACUCCAGAACUGCCUUCGAUACUGGCGAUCUCGGGUCCGGAAGAGGUGAGUGGAACUCCUAGUGUAGAGGUGGAAUUCGUAGAUAUUAGGAAGAACACCAGUGGCGAAGGCGACUCACUGGUCCGGUACUGACGCUGAGGUGCGAAAGCGUGGGGAGCAAACAGG
rnacentral:rRNA from 1 species